rnacentral:lncRNA from 1 species
GAAAAUUAUUCCAGAACUUAAAAAAAAAGAAGAAACAAAACAGAAAGCGAAGAGGACGUAAAUAUUCCCAUUUAGAAGCCCAAAGUCAGUGAGAUGAAACCCAACAUCAAGAAAUUGAAGCAAAGUUACUUGUGGAUAAACAAAGCAUUAGUUUUUUGGAAAAAGACAACAGAAAUUGUACUUUGUUGAGAAGACUCCUAGAGCCAAAUAGUCACAGACUCAGAAUACACAGAGACAAGCAAAGAUGGUUCCAGCAAGCUCUAAGGACACAGACAUGUGAAAGAGGCGCUGAAGACACACGAGGACUGAUGCAUGGUAGAUGUCAUCCUGAUAUGGCUGGGCUUCUGGACUCACUGCCUCCUCCUUCUAGAACCCAGCACCUCCAAGGCUGGGAGAAGAGAAGUUUGGGGUCUAUGGGAAAUGACCUCUGGAAGUGGCUGUGACUGUUUCCAAAGACAAAUACAAUCUAGAUUCUCGAAACAAUGCAAAUGAACAAAAAAUGUGAGUUUAGCAGUUAGUGAAACAUUAAGAUGAGAUACAGGAGUAAACACAUUUUUUUCCAUAAAAGUAGUGGAUGUUAAAUAAUGAAAUACAGUGGUAAAACAAUUACAGCCUGGAGGCUUUAAGAUGUAAAUCAAAAAUGGAGACCAGUGGUGUUAAUAUCAUAUGAGAGGAUUAAAUAUGAGCUGCUGGUCCAACUGUGUUCUGCAGGAAUUCAGGCAGAUGGAUGAGAGACAGGCUAUGAGUAAAGCAUUACCACAGCUGGGGGUGCGGUGUAUGGAAGCUCAUCCUAGCUAGCACUUGGAGAAGAACUCACACAUUGCAAACAUAUCCGGUUAAAAACUGGCAUUUGCUGCAACUAAAAAAGGCAAGUGAUGGUCUAGGUGAACUGCCUUUUCUUUCUCUCCUUCCAAAGGACAA